rnacentral:lncRNA from 1 species
GAGAAGAAAGUAAUCCUACUUAUGUGAUCACUCACUUUAUUUUUUUUAAUGACAGUUUGGAGAAAAGUUAGCGGCAGACCGUCAGGACUGCAUUUGCCUGGAAGGUGGAAGUGGCAUCGUAUGCGAACCUCACAGAUGUCCCGAACAAAAUAAGAGGACUCGUUCUGGGAAAGGCUUCUAUGAAGUCACUGAAGUCAAGUCUGAAGAUCCCUGCUUGCAUAUGCAUCACAAGUUUGUGCACAACUAAACCCCCCAUGUGUAUGCUGGGAUUUGAAGUUUAUUCUUAUAUUCCUGGUGAUGAGUGCUGUCCCGUGUACCAGUGUGGUAAGUCCUUUGGAAAUACAUUUAAAUGAUUAGCUUUAUAUAUAAUGUAAUUUAGUUUUAGAUUUAAUGAGACUGCAUGCAGUACCCUAAUGAAAGAAGUCAGAUUCCAUGAAUCGGUUACUGCUAACUGUGGUUACUACUAUUAUGUUAAUACAACUGUNNNNNNNNNNNNNNNNNNNNNNNNNAAAAGGUUUAUGUGAGUAGAGAGUUGUUUUUAAAUGUCAGUACCAGAGAGCGAUUUGGUUUUAGGGUGAAGCGUUUAUGCAUUUUAGAAAGUCAGUCUGUGUUUACUGUCAGCUCUUCAUUUCAAUUUUAAUGCAUUCAGAAAUGAAAAGAUUUGUAAAGAAGGAAUAUUCUGAGCAGAUGUAGAUCCCUAGUAAUUUCUUUAAGGUCUAGUAAAUAUUUACUUACGUAUGUUUAUAUGACUCCUUUGCUUUUAAUAUCCGAAUUUAUCUUUGUUAUGUAGGACUUCAAUCAAGACAUGUGAAGUUUAAUUCAGUAUUAUUUGUCUUCAUAAAUAGCUAGACAAAUAUAUAUUUCCAGUUAUGUUCACAGUGGAUUCUUAUUCCAUUGCUUGGUUUUGAGGUUUUUGGGGAAUUAAAAAAUGUCUGUCACAUGUCAUAUCUCAUUAAUAUGUGGACCUUUGUUUCUUUAAAUUGAUAGCCUAAUUCCUCAGUCUUCAUUGAUAAGUGUCACGAUCACUUUUGCACUCACUAAGUUAACUCCAGCACUCAACUGAAUGUCAUCUCCUGUCAACAUAUUCCAUGCAAAGCAUACUGUGAACCAGUAAGUGACUAAUGUUAAACUACAGAACUAGCAAACAAAUAUAAUACCCAUGUCCAUGACAGAUGCUAUGGUCAAUGAGUUACAUAUGUUAUGUAUGGGGGGCAGAAAGCGAGAACCUGGCUACGGUGUGGACACCAACUGUCCCUGAGCCGUCUAUUUUGUGUAGUUUGAUAGUAUAACCAACAGUUCACCUCGGGAGGAGUAGCUAAUAAAUGUCUGUAGUAAUGCA